AAUAAACGCUGGCGGCGUGCUUAACACAUGCAAGUCGUACGAGAAAGCCGAAAGCUUGCUUUGGGCGAGUAAAGUGGCGCACGGGUGAGUAACGCGUGGGUAAUCUACCUUCGAGUUUGGGAUAACCCCGCGAAAGCGGGGGCUAAUACCGGAUGAUAUCCAUUUAAUUUUGGUUGAAUGGAUGAAAGAUGGCCGCUCCAUGGAAGCUGUUGUUUGGAGAUGAGCCCGCGUACCAUUAGCUUGUUGGUGGGGUAAUGGCCCACCAAGGCGACGAUGGUUAGCUGGUCUGAGAGGAUGAUCAGCCACACUGGAACUGGAACACGGUCCAGACUCCUACGGGAGGCAG
rnacentral:rRNA from 1 species